CUGCCGAAGGUUCUUCAGCAAAGUACUGAGUACAGGGUCUGAAUACUUAUGUAAAUGUGAUAUUUUAUUUUAUUUUUUAAAUUUUAUUUUAUUUUUUACAAAUUUGGAAACAUUUCUAAAAACUUGUUUUUGCUUUGUCAUUAUGGGCUAUUGUGUAGAUUGAGGGGGAAACGAUGUAAUCAAUUUUAGAAUAAGGCUGUAACGUAACAAAAUGUGGAAAAAGUCAAGGGGUCUGAAUAAUUUCCGAAUUCACUGUAUGUGUGCAGGCAACUUGGAAUGAAUGAAACAUUUGUAUGAAGGGAGGGGUUGUCUGUCACCACCAAGGCGGAGCGAAGGGAUGACGUAUGGUAAACGUUGCCAUCGCAGAGUAAAGAAUCCGCUAUCCUUUGCAUCGCUUUGGUGUAACCAGGAUCGAGAGGGUUCUGUAGUGGCAGGAUAGCUAUUCUCAUUGGAUUAAAUACAUCCAAUUCUUUGACAUUUUUAUUACACAUAAUACAUAGAUGUUGAUUUGGUGGCAGCAUAUAUUUCUCAUGUAGGGAUUUUGUUAUUGACACAUGCCGCUGUUGCAUUUUUGCACAGCUCAGCUCUCUGUGUGAGCCGUAGGUCUGUCAUUACAGUAUCUACAGUUUAUAGCCAGUAAUAAAACACAUCUUCCUUGACCCACCGAUCUGAUUUCUGGACUCUCAUCACUGCAUUCAAGAGAUGGACGAAGAAAAUCAAAUACCUGAGGAUCUCUCACUGGAAGAGAGGGAUGAGCUGUCAAACAUCCGGCGGAGGAAGAGAGAGCUGCUGGAUGAUAUUGAGGGGAUCCAGUCUUCUCCUGAAAAACAACCUUCUGCAGCACACCCCAGAAGACAUCUCUCAGUUCCUCUACAAGGGUGA
rnacentral:lncRNA from 1 species